GAAGCAGAGAUUGUGUGUAUCGGUGAUGUGCAAAAACUAUGCUUCUCAGCCGGAAGAGUUCCCUGCAAAACCUAAUUUAGGUGAGGAUGGGCAGUUGUAUAUCAUUCUUUUCUGUUGGUAUUUCAACAAUCAUCAUCUCCACAUUC